GUCUGGUCAAUGCGAGAUCUAGUUGUUAAAUGAUCUAUGAUCUAGAGGUUUAGCGGAACAAUUGUGAUACUUUUUCCGCUUGUGGGCGAUGGAUUGGCGUUAAAGUUGUUAAUUGGAUGCUCGGGCAAAUCCACCUGCUGAAGUUCAUCUUGGAUCGGAAGGCGAGUCCAAACAGAUUCCUCCAAGUGGAAAUCUCCACCCGUUUUGGCCAGCAAGUUCUUGAUGGAUUUGAGCAAACAUCGAAAACAUCCGUGCAAAAUCCUUCAUCAUAAGGGCGGAACUGGGAGAUGUCUAGUAUUGGAUCACCAACUGGUAACCAGAGAGUUGGUCUAAGUAAACCAAAUACUCACAUUGGCCAUACGUGAAGAGGUCAGAUGAAAAGGACAAUAUCCUCCUUUACCGCCAGCUCGGAAGCAACCUUCUUGAAGAGUGACUCAUAGACACUGUUGGUGUGCUCCACUGUGCCAGCCAAAAUGGCGGCCUUGAGUUUAAAGUAAGAUUCGCACGUUUUGGCGGAUUUGGGGACAUCAUUCAAAAUUAGGUCUGGGUACUCCGACUUGAGUGAGGCUACUGUCAGGGAAUGACGAUCGGAAUCAAUGUCAAAAUCUGAAUCCGGCUUUGAAACAAGAGCUUGUAGCAUAAGACAGAAUCUGACGGUUGAACAUGGAGACAAGGGGUUUGUGAUCAGUGACGACAUUAAAAUUGAUGCUAGCCAAAUACAAGGUGCACUUUUUGACGGCCCAAUAAUUCGCCAAAGUUUCCAACUCUAUCAUCGAAUACCCACUUUCACAAUCCCUGAAAUAUCGAGAUCCACAUUGAAUUAUUUUGGGAUCUUCGGCUUUGACUGGACGAGUUUGUGAGAACGGUCUGAGACUUCAGAUCUUACUGUUCACAUUG